rnacentral:lncRNA from 1 species
AUGAUUUAUCACAAUGCAAUAGAUCUGCAUGUUUAUUAAAACAUGCUAGUAACUGAAUCUAAUAUUCACAAUAUACGAUAUCAAAAAACACAAUAUAAAUUUCUUCUAAUCCUUUGGUCUUUAAAGCUCUCAAAUCUUUGAUAUCUUGAUGAGCAUUUCAAGAGCUUUUUGCGUGCACUGAAGAUACACUUCUACAUCACUUUAUCUUCGUUAAACGCUGCAAAAAUGAUGACAGUUCUCCAUCAGAUUCUCAUAACAAAAGAUCGCAGAUUUUUUCUACAAUGAGAAACAAAUAUAUGUUUAACCGCCCUGGUUAACCACAAGAUAUUCCAAAAUUAGCUAGCUAAACA